rnacentral:lncRNA from 1 species
UGUUUUUUACUGUCAGCUUAGAUUGUCAUCGUUUCUGCCUUUUUGUUGUGGAUUAUUUUCGUUUUUUUUGGUGUGUUAGGUCAGGUUUUAGGGGAUUCAUCAGAGAUAUUAAUUUCCCUUAUUUGUUUUGUUUUCUCUCAUUUUGGACAUUCAUCUCUCUUUCUGUCUGUUUGUUCUUUGUUUUAAGGUUGGUUGCUUUUUUUUUUUUGGGUUUUUUUGUGUGGCUUUUUAUUUAUUUUUCCAGGUUAUAGAUCUGAUGGUUUUUUGUAUACCAAUCUUGGUUUUGUUUUUCCUGGAAAAUUGUUUUUAUCUGAUUGUGGGUUUGUGGGUUUUAAUUUCUUUCGUUUGUUUCAGGUUGCAAAGCAGGAGGUUCUGACCUGAGGGUUCAAUUCAAGGUACUGUUAUUAUUAUUUUUAGUUCUUAUAGUUUAAUGUUUCGAACUGAUGUGAUGAUUUGGUUGUGAAAUGUGGGAUUUCUAUUUGGCUUCUGUUGCCUAUGUGAUGUUCUCUGUUUUUAUUGCUGGGUAGAGAUUCCAUAUAUUCUAGGUCUCUGGAAAACACCUCUUUAGUUCUACGAGAGGAACUAAAUAACACAUUUUUCCUGAUAUAAGCAUGCAAGAAGCAAAACAAGCUAAGAGUCAUUUAUACAAUAUAAACACACGAACUCUGUUCGAAUUAUUACUCUUAUUCUCGCUAUUUUUUGGCUGUUUAGUUUGGACUCCCAUCGCAGUGUCAUCAUUUUGGUAUGCAUAUGUGGUUCUUGGUUUGAAGAACAAAAGUUACCUUUGUUUUGAAAUUGCAAUUUAGUUGCUGUCUGUGUCUAUGUGAGUAUUUUGUGAAUUUGUUUUUAGGACUAAAGUUAUAUUGGUUUUGAAAUGGUCUUUGAAGAUGAUUGUGUUAUUAUAUAAACUGCAUAUAAUUUGGAUAUGAUGAGAAAACUAAUUAAACUGAAUCUUGGUAAUGAUUUAGUUCUUGAGAAGUUGUCAAAAAACAAGGUUUAAAUAGGAAGAACAUCAUCCUUACCAGAUAAGUCAUUCAUAGCAUUUUGAGCAUCUUGAAAAAGUAAAUGAGGGUAUGAUGCGAUUCAAUAUAGUUACAAAUCGACCGACUGUUAAAAGGCAGAGGCGGAGCUCUAAACUAUUGACUCUUUAAAAGAAAAUUAAAAAUUUAAUGUCAUUAUAUCAAGCCGUUACCUAAGUUCUCUCAUCCUAAUCCCUUGCAUCAGUUACCAGUUCAUCAUAAGCUACCAUUCAGACUCACAAUAGAGUAUUAAUAAAAAUAAAUUAACCAUGCAUUCCGAAUGAUAACAGAAGUAAAAACUUAGUAUCUAAUUUAGUGUUCUGUAAUUUGAGAACUAGGGUUUUGUUGUUUUAGAAUCUUUAGGGGUAUUUGUAUUUACUCAGAGUUCUCAUUUUUUAUUUUGCUGGAACAAAUUGCUUUAUUUUAAGGUUAAUUAGUUACUUUUAGUUUUUUUAUGAGCUUUGAAUUAUUGGAGCUCUGGACUGCAAAUUGUUUAUGGUAGCUAUUUUGAAUGAAACAUAAAGGUGUGGCCUUUUAGGUGAUAGUGGUUAAUUAGUUACUUUCAGUUUUUUUAUGAGCUUUGAAUUAUUGGACCUUUGGACUGCAAAUUGUUUAUGGUGGCUAUUUUGAAUGAAGCAUAAAGUACUUACUACUAACUGAGAGAGGGCACCUGCAAUUCAAGCCCUUAACGUGUUCUUUAUUUUUUUAAUUGAAAAUCAUGUUUUCGUACCCUAUGUUUCCACCUUUAAUUAAGGAAGUGAUGAGAUGUUGGAUUGUCUAUUGAUGUGUUAUCUGAUUCAGUGUUUGUGUGAUGCCUAAAUCUGUUGUGGCUCUUGCUGAUUGUUCACAUGUUCUCGAGCAUAAAUCAAUAUAUCUUAGAAAGAAAGAAAAACAUUUUCUUUGGUACCUGUACACAGUUGAACUUUUUUUUUCAUAACUUUUUCGGGUGGUUCUUUUCUGUGAUUUCAGAAAUUGAGGAUCCAUUUGAAAGACAGUAGUACCGAUAGACACUUGGACACCUAUAUAUAUGUAAGUUAUUGUAAAUAUGUUAGUCAUUGUAAAUGUGAUUGUGAAUAGAUUUUCAUAUGUAUGUAAAUAUGUUAGUCAUUGCAGUUUUUGGUCUUUUUUACUGAAAUUGUUUUGGUCCCUGCCACUAAACUUUGUUUUCUGCUAUUAAUUGCUGCUGAAAUGUGACUUUUGCUAUUAAUUUUUUUCCCUUCAUAUUUAUGCUGCUUUUGGAUUCCAUUCGAAUUAAAUAUUGUAGUUAAUCUUCAUAUGAAUUCUCUCUGCAACAAUAAUUAGGGAUUUCAGUUUAAAUUAUUACUGAUUUGUUCUUGAUCUGGCAUUGAAUCUUUCUUAAUUUGGACUGCAGGUGGUUCUGACGCGGAGGAGAAUCCGUAAGAGGUAAUGAUCUUGCUGCACUUAAGUACAGCUGUUCUUCAACUCAUAUAAACUUUCUGGAAGGGUUCAAACUGUUAAGAGUUUUAUGAUUUUGUAAAAGCCUUUUAGUAGCAGAAGCUUGGUCUUUUGUAGUUGCGUUAUUACACUAUACAACUUGAGUUAGUGUGGGUUUCUUGCUAACUGAUAUCACUUAGGAAUUCUAAAAGCAAUUGCAUUUUACAAUAUACAACUUCAAUUAGUAUAUGUUUCUUAAUUAGUGGCAUGUGAAUUCUUAAUUUAAUUUCGGAAGGAGAUACGUUUAAAGUUGGUGCUAUGAGAUGAAGUUAGCAUUUUGUUUUUUAUUAUAUACUGGUGGUGAACAUUUUUAGCAUAUUGGUUGAGAAAGAUUUUUCAUUUUCUAUAAAAUAAAUCUUCAUUCUCACCAUGUUGUUGAUGUUUUUUGUAAUUUGAGUUUAUAGUGCUUCUAAAUGCUGUUUUAAUUUUAGGAAUUUGAAUAAUUGUUUUAAUUUCGGUUAAUGCAAGAUUUGAAAUUUGUGAUGAUCAUUUUUGUAUUUCUAUAAAUUUUGAGACAAAAAAGCAUGUGAAAAAGCACAUUAGUCUCUUGGUAUAAAUCACAUUAGUGUUAUUAUGGCUAGGAUAAAAAACCAUGUGAUAAAACUGUGGCUUUUCAAUUAUUUUAUCAUGCAUCUAUAAACCAAAGGUCCGAUUAACGCAAAAGAGAAAUAGAAUUGCCAGAAACACAACGACAUAGUCGGGUCUAAAUCUUUUAGACAUAGUUAGGUUGAUUUAUGAAAAGUUUAGGACAAAGAUAAGUCUUCGUUCUUCAAAGAUCAGAAAGGUGACAAUGUAGUAAGGGUGUCAGAGUUUCCCAGGAUGAAGCACAAAGAGGAAUACAUUCGGCAUUUACACACUAAGUUAGGCCAAGAGUGAAAACCAACCAGCAAAGAUUAUGGUAAUUCACUAAUUUAGACAUUAACCAGCUUUGAGAGUGAUACUCACCCAUUGUCGGUUUUCUUUGCGAGCAUAUUUCCUACCCAAAAUUUCCCAAACUGUUCUCAAACCAUUGCAUCGGCAUAUCUUUCCAACUUCUAAUAGUCUUUGGUGCUAGAACAUCUUCUAACUUCAUUCUAAAAAAAUAGAUUUAUAAGUAAAGACAUCUAAAAAUAGAAAAAACAAGAAUGCGUUACUCAUGUAAAACAUGCUUUCUCUGACUUGCUACAUUUAUGAAUGCAAUUGUACUACUGUAGCAUUUUCAGUUAAUUUUUCUAUGAAUAUUAUUCAUGGUCUGAAAACCCGCAGCAAAGCGCGGGCAUUCCUGCUAGUAUAAUAACAAAAUGAUAACUUAAAAACACACUCCAAAUUUGACUAGGAAAUCUACCCAGCAAAGAAAUAGCCACAAUUUUUUUUACCUUUAAGGCUCCAAAACAAGUCCAAAACGACUUAAAUUAAGGAUUAGAACCUCCUCUUCAAGUCCCAAGAAGAGCCCAAGUCCAAAAUCCAUCAUCUUCCAACCGGAAAGUCAUAAACAAGCUCUAUAGUCCAAUCUACCAACAUUGCACGCUGGGUAUAAAUUAAUUCCCCACGAUCAAAUGUUUUGGGAUAAAAUUAUGAAAUUUUGAUAUAACCUUCUUGAUAGACUAACGAACUUGUUCCAAUUGGAAUCACUGAAAAAUUCCACUGUUUCAAUACUUUAUGCUCAUAAAUGAUUCGCAUGUCCUACAUUAACAAUACAUAACAAAACAUCAAAAUCUCACCAAAAUAUACCAAGAAUAGAGGAAAAUCUAUAGUAUAAAAUCGACUCAUCACAUGUCAUGAGCUAAGUAUCAACUUGUCAUUUGGUAUUUGGCUAUCUCCAAUCAUAG